rnacentral:rRNA from 1 species
UACGUAGGGGGCAAGCGUUGUCCGGAUUUAUUGGGCGUAAAGAGCUCGUAGGCGGUUCAGUAAGUCGGGUGUGAAAACUCUGGGCUUAACCCGGAGAGGCCACUCGAUACUGCUGAACUUGAGUACGGUAGGGGAGUGGGGAAUUCCUGGUGUAGCGGUGAAAUGCGCAGAUAUCAGGAGGAACACCGGUGGCGAAGGCGCCACUCUGGGCCGAAACUGACGCUGAGGAGCGAAAGCGUGGGUAGCAAACAGG